rnacentral:rRNA from 1 species
UGGGGAAUAUUGGACAAUGGGCGAAAGCCUGAUCCAUCCAUGCCGCGUGUGUGAAGAAGGUCUUCGGAUUGUAAAGCACUUUAAGUUGGGAGGAAGGGCAUUAACCUAAUACGUUAGUGUUUUGACGUUACCGACAGAAUAAGCACCGGCUAACUCUGUGCCAGCAGCCGCGGUAAUACAGAGGGUGCAAGCGUUAAUCGGAAUUACUGGGCGUAAAGCGCGCGUAGGUGGUUUGUUAAGUUGGAUGUGAAAUCCCCGGGCUCAACCUGGGAACUGCAUUCAAAACUGACUGACUAGAGUAUGGUAGAGGGUGGUGGAAUUUCCUGUGUAGCGGUGAAAUGCGUAGAUAUAGGAAGGA